rnacentral:rRNA from 1 species
UACGGAGGGAGCUAGCGUUGUUCGGAAUUACUGGGCGUAAAGCGCACGUUAGGCGGCUUUGUAAGUUAGAGGUGAAAGCCCGGAGCUCAACUCCGGAAUUGCCUUUAAGACUGCAUCGCUUGAGUGCAGAAGAGGCAACUGGAAUUCCCAGUGUAGCGGUGAAAUGCGUAGAUAUUGGGGAAGAACACCUGGAGGCGAAGGCGGGUUGCUGGGCUGACGACUGA